UACGUAGGAUGCAAGCGUUGUCCGGAUUUAUUGGGCGUAAAGCGAACGUAGGCGGCUUCUUAAGUUUGGUCUUAAAGACCGGGGCUCAACCCCGGGAGUGGACUGAAUACUGGGAGGCUAGAGGAUGUCAGAGGAAAGUGGAAUUCCUAGUGUAGCGGUGAAAUGCGUAGAUAUUAGGAGGAACACCAGUGGCGAAAGCGACUUUCUGGGACAUUUCUGACGCUGAGGUUCGAAAGCUCGGGGAGCAAACAGG
rnacentral:ncRNA from 2 species